CAGGGGAUUGCAGUGGCAAAGCUAGGCUAGGUCUUGGAGGCUGGUGUAAGGCGAUGUGGGUGAAGGCAGGAGGCUGAUGGAAAGACUGGGGGGAAGAAAAGCCGAAAUGGAUUCACGGUGCCUUGGAUGAAGGACGAGAGGGGAACUGCAAGCUCCUUCAACUGGUUCUGUCCGGUGAGAAGUGAUCAAGCUUGGGCUGACAAGAGGCUCAGGGAGCCCUCACGUUCUUUCGCUUUUUUACCUGCCAAUCAAACUGCUACAAGACAACACCCUGAUCUGGCAUGGACAUUCAUUGCAGUCACCUGGAGUCACGGAAAUGACCAUGAUUGCCUGAACUUUCAUGACUUCUGUGGAUAACUGUGGUUGCAGAAAAGAGAAAACCUGGACCGUGAGGGACAUUUCACUCCCUGGGCUUUGGCCUCCCUACAGCGUUGGCUCAGCUCUAGCUACUUGGAAGGUCGUGGCAAUGCUGUCUCAGAAUGUCCGUUUCUAGAGUACAGAGAAGAAAUUCUAGCUUGACGUCCACGUGCAUUUGUCUGUGUUUCAGAGGAAAUUCCAAUUCUAAACUCUUGGAAGAAACAAUUUCUCGGCAUGCUGAAGAGAAUUGCUGUUUUUUGGCACCUGAAACACUUUUACCCAAGGGUUCUGAUUAUUUAAAUAAUUGGUAUGCUAUAAAUAUUCUGGUUGACAGAAAUGUGGUUUAAUGUAGAUGAGUUGUAAAAACAUGAGACAAACAUGCUCCAGGCUA
rnacentral:lncRNA from 1 species